rnacentral:rRNA from 1 species
AUUGAACGCUGGCGGCAUGCCUUACACAUGCAAGUCGAACGGCAGCGCGGACUUCGGUCUGGCGGCGAGUGGCGAACGGGUGAGUAAUACAUCGGAACGUGCCCUGUUGUGGGGGAUAACUAGUCGAAAGAUUAGCUAAUACCGCAUACGACCUGAGGGUGAAAGCGGGGGACCGUAAGGCCUCGCGCAAUAGGAGCGGCCGAUGUCUGAUUAGCUAGUUGGUGGGGUAAAAGCUCACCAAGGCGACGAUCAGUAGCUGGUCUGAGAGGACGAUCAGCCACACUGGGACUGAGACACGGCCCANACUCCUACGGGAGGCAGCAGCGGGGAAUUUUGGACAAUGGGGGCAACCCUGAUCCAGCAAUGCCGCGUGUGUGAAGAAGGCCUUCGGGUUGUAAAGCACUUUUGUCCGGAAAGAAAUCGCGUUGGAUAAUACCCGGCGUGGAUGACGGUACCGGAAGAAUAAGCACCGGCUAACUACGUGCCAGCAGCCGCGGUAAUACGUAGGGUGCGAGCGUUAAUCGGAAUUACUGGGCGUAAAGCGUGCGCAGGCGGUUUUGUAAGACAGGCGUGAAAUCCCCNAGCUCAACUUGGGAAUUGCGCUUGUGACUGCAAGGCUAGAGUGUGUCAGAGGGGGGUAGAAUUCCACGUGUAGCAGUGAAAUGCGUAGGGNUGUGGAGGAAUACCGAUGGCGAAAGCAGCCCCCUGGGACAUGACUGACGCUCAUGCACGAAAGCGUGGGGAGCAAACAGGAUUAGAUACCCUGGUAGUCCACGCCCUAACGANGUCAACUAGUGUGGGGAUUCAUUUCUUCAGUAACGUAGCUAACGCGUGAAGUGACCGCCUGGGGAGUACGGUCGCAG